GCCUGGGUGGCUCAGUCGGUUAAGCGUCUGACUUCAGCUCAGGUCACGAUCUCAUGGUUUGUGAGUUCGAGCCCCGCAUCGGGCU
rnacentral:tRNA from 1 species